GUAGGGAAUAUUGGGCAAUGGUCGGAAGACUGACCCAGCCAUGCCGCGUGCAGGAAGACGGCCCUCUGGGUUGUAAACUGCUUUUAUCUGGGAAGAAAAAGGCCAUGCGUGGCAAAUUGCCGGUACCAGAUGAAUAAGCACCGGCUAACUCCGUGCCAGCAGCCGCGGUAAUACGGAGGGUGCGAGCGUUGUCCGGAUGUAUUGGGUGUAAAGGGUGCGUAGGCGGCUGCUUAAGUCAGCGGUGAAAGACUUCGGCUUAACCGGAGCAGUGCCGUUGAUACUGGUUGGCUUGAGUGUCGGAGGGGUACAUGGAAUUGAUGGUGUAGCGGUGAAAUGCAUAGAUACCAUCAGGAACACCGAUAGCGAAGGCAUUGUACUGGCCGACAACUGACGCUGAUGCACGAAAGUGUGGGGAUCGAACAGGAUUAGAAACCCGGGUAGUCC
rnacentral:rRNA from 1 species